rnacentral:rRNA from 1 species
GACGAACGCUGGCGGCGUGCUUAACACAUGCAAGUCGAACGGAAAGGCCCUGCUUUCGUGGGGUUCUCGAGUGGCGAACGGGUGAGUAACACGUGAGUAACCGGCCCUUGACUUUGGGGUAACUUAAGGAAACUGGGGCUAAUACCGGAUAGGAGCUCCUGCUGCAUGGUGGGGGUUGGAAAGUUUCGGCGGUUGUGGAUGGACUGGCGGCUUAUCAACUUGUUAGUGGGGUAGUGGCUGACCAAGGCUUUGACGGGUAGCCGGCCUGGGAGCGUGGCCGGCGACCAUAGUACUGCGGUACGGCCCAGUCUCCUACGGGAGGCAGCAGUGGGGAGUAUUGCACAGUGGGCGGGCGCCUGAUGCAGCGGCGCCGCGUGCGGGAUGACGGCCUUCGGGUUGUAAACCGCUUUCGCCUGUGACGAAGCGUUAGUGACGGUAAUGGGUAAAGAAGCACCGGCUAACUACGUG